rnacentral:lncRNA from 1 species
CUUUUCAAAGACAAAAUAUCAUGCUAGUUUGAAGGACCACUGACAGUGAAUUAUUCUCAAAUCUGAUUACUUUGCAUAUGAAAAUUCUGUUGUCAUUUUCACAACCCCCUACAAUUUCCUUUAAAGUGAAUGUUUUGGGAAAAUAUUAUUGUCAUUUGAUCAAUUUUAACAUUAAUAUCACAGCAAAAAAAAAUUAAAAAUGUGUACAACCAUUCUUGAAAAUACUCUAAGUGAUUAAUGGGGUGACUGAUGUGACCAGACAAAUUUCAAAGGAAAAAAUAACAUCACUGCUUUAAAUGAAGUGCCCUGGACAUUGUAUUUCAAUUUGCAAUUGCAACAUGUCUGUCUCAUCAUAGGUACAGUAAUGGAACACCAACAAAUUCUCAAGCAAGAGUCAUAAAAUUUCAUCCAGUAACACCUUCCUCAGAGCCAUCCAGAGUCUUGAUAGCAACUGUUAGCAGAUGUUCAGAAAGGUCCCUAUGAAGGUACUGUUUCUCCAGCAGCAGAGUCCCAGAGAGAUUACAGAAGCCUGUGUGCUUCCUGGCAAAGAAUUUCUCAGGCAUUUUGUAGAGCCAAGAGACAUCAUUCCCAGCAAGCAUUGUCAAUAAUGAAUUUUUUUUUGCUGCUUUGGGGAUAGCUCAAUAGAGAGUUGCAGAUUUUUGGAGUUUUUCUCAAUUUAUUAUUUCUGUUACUGAUUCAAACGAGACUAUUCUGCCUUUCUGUUCCUGAUCCAAGUAUAGCUUUUUGUAUUUUUAUCUGCAGCAGAAUUCAAAUUUUAUAACACAGGUUGCUGUGAUACUUAUAAUUAUUGUUUAUUUUAGCUGAAUUUGUGUUGAAUCAACCAGUUUGUUGUAAAUUAGAUCAUAUCCCAAAACACUGAAUUUAUCAGCAAGAGUUUGAUCUGUCAUUUACCACUGUUGUAAAAUAGCUGAAUUUCAGAUAGGCUGUAUAAAGUUUAACUUCUAUAGUAUGAAAUGAGACUUCAAUUGUUGAACUGACAUGUCUGCUCAAACUGUUUCCAUGUAUUCUCAUGGCUUCAUAUGCCUUCUUUGUUUAACUAAAAUUAUAAUGCAUACAGUAGAAGUUAGCAAUUGAAAUUCAAAUUUCAAGUCUUUCAUUCUUCAAUCACUUUCUCUUACCCCUACAUAAUUUCUUAACACAAAAUGUCUAUUACAUUUUUCACAUUAUUCUUCUUUUAAAACUCAGUAUUGUCUCCUUCCCUGGGGAAAAAAUCCUGUCAUUUUUUUGUGAUCCUUGAAGUUUCUGAACAUUAUACAUCUGUUGUUUAUUUACUUUGUGAACAGGAAUGCAGAUAGAUGGAAACCUUAAAAAAAAAUAAAAUGAAUGUGUGCAGAACA